rnacentral:rRNA from 1 species
UGGGGAAUUUUGGACAAUGGGCGAAAGCCUGAUCCAGCAAUGCCGCGUGUGUGAAGAAGGCCUUCGGGUUGUAAAGCACUUUUGUCCGGAAAGAAAUGGCUCUGGUUAAUACCUGGGGUCGAUGACGGUACCGGAAGAAUAAGGACCGGCUAACUACGUGCCAGCAGCCGCGGUAAUACGUAGGGUCCAAGCGUUAAUCGGAAUUACUGGGCGUAAAGCGUGCGCAGGCGGUUGUGCAAGACCGAUGUGAAAUCCCCGAGCUUAACUUGGGAAUUGCAUUGGUGACUGCACGGCUAGAGUGUGUCAGAGGGGGGUUAGAAUUCCACGUGUAGCAGUGAAAUGCGUAGAGAUGUGGAGGAAUACCGAUGGCGAAGGCAGCCCCCUGGGAUAACACUGACGCUCAUGCACGAAAGCGUGGGGAGCAAACAGGAUUAGAUACCCUGGUAGUCCACGCCCUAAACGAUGUGCAACUAGGUUGUUGGGGAUUCAUUUCCUUAGUACGUAGCUAACGCGUGAAGUUGGACCGCCUGGGGAGUACGGUCGCAAGAUUAAAAGCUC